UGAGGAAUAUUGCACAAUGGGCGAAAGCCUGAUGCAGCGACGCCGCGUGGAGGAUGAAGGUCUUCGGAUUGUAAACUCCUGUCAAAUGGGAAGAAAGACCUGUCUAUAAUACAGAUGGGGGAUGACGGUACCAUUAGAGGAAGCACCGGCUAACUUCGUGCCAGCAGCCGCGGUAAUACGAGGGGUGCAAGCGUUAUUCGGAAUUACUGGGCGUAAAGGGUGCGUAGGUGGUGUAUUAAGUCUGUUGUUAAAUCUCCUGGCCUAACCGGGAAAUCGCAAUGGAAACUAGUACGCUAGAGUGUGAGAGAGAGAAGUGGAAUUCUCGGAGUAGCGGUAAAAUGCGUAGAUAUCGAGAGGAACACCGAUGGCGAAAGCAGCUUCUUGGCUCACUACUGACACUGAAGCACGAAAGCGUGGGGAGCAAACAGGAUUAGAUACCCCGGUAGUCC
rnacentral:rRNA from 1 species